GCCUGGCUGGCUUAGUCUGUGGAGCAUGUGACUUACGAUCUUGAGUUUGUAGGUUCAAGCCCCACGUUGGGUG
rnacentral:tRNA from 1 species